rnacentral:rRNA from 1 species
UACGGAUGGUGCGAGCGUUAAUCGGAAUAACUGGGCGUAAAGGGCACGCAGGCGGGCUUUUAAGUGAGAUGAUAAAUCCCCGGGCUUAACCUGGGAAUAGCAUUUCAGACUGGGAGUCAAGAGUAGUUUAGGGAGGGGUAGAAUUCCACGUGUAGCGGUGAAAUGCGUAGAGAUGUGGAGGAAUACCGAAGGCGAUGGCAGCCCUUUGGGAAUGUACUGACGCUCAUGUGCGAAAGCGUGGGGAGCAAACAGG